GACGAACGCUGGCGGCGCGCCUAACACAUGCAAGUCGAACGAGCGAGAGAGAGCUUGCUUUCUCGAGCGAGUGGCGAACGGGUGAGUAACGCGUGAGGAACCUGCCUCAAAGAGGGGGACAACAGUUGGAAGCGACUGCUAAUACCGCAUAAGCCCACAGCUCGGCAUCGAGCAGAGGGAAAAGGAGCAAUCCGCUUUGAGAUGGCCUCGCGUCCGAUUAGCUAGUUGGUGAGGUAACGGCCCAUCAAGGCGACGAUCGGUAGCCGGACUGAGAGGUUGAACGGCCACAUUGGGACUGAGACACGGCCCAGACUCCUACGGGAGGCAGCAGUGGGGAAUAUUGCACAAUGGGGGAAACCCUGAUGCAGCGACGCCGCGUGGAGGAAGAAGGUCUUCGGAUUGUAAACUCCUGUUGUUGGGGAAGAUAAUGACGGUACCCAACAAGGAAGUGACGGCUAACUACGUGCCAGCAGCCGCGGUAAAACGUAGGUCACAAGCGUUGUCCGGAAUUACUGGGUGUAAAGGGAGCGCAGGCGGGAAGACAAGUUGGAAGUGAAAUCUAUGGGCUCAACCCAUAAACUGCUUUCAAAACUGUUUUUCUUGAGUAGUGCAGAGGUAGGCGGAAUUCCCGGUGUAGCGGUGGAAUGCGUAGAUAUCGGGAGGAACACCAGUGGCGAAGGCGGCCUACUGGGCACCAACUGACGCUGAGGCUCGAAAGUGUGGGUAGCAAACAGGAUUAGAUACCCUGGUAGUCCACACCGUAAACGA
rnacentral:rRNA from 1 species